UACGUAGGGGGCGAGCGUUGUCCGGAAUUAUUGGGCGUAAAGAGCGUGUAGGCGGUUCGGUAAGUCUGUCGUGAAAUCCUGGGGCUCAACCCCGGGCGUGCGAUGGAUACUGCCGGGCUAGAGGGUGGUAGAGGCGAGUGGAAUUCCCGGUGUAGCGGUGAAAUGCGCAGAUAUCAGGAAGAACACCAAUGGCGAAAGCAGCUCUCUGGGACGGUACUGACGCUGAGACGCGAAAGCGUGGGGAGCGAACAGG
rnacentral:rRNA from 1 species